rnacentral:rRNA from 1 species
AGGCGGUUCUCUAAGAGGCCCGCUAUCGGAAUGGGCACAAUUUAAACCCUUUAACGAGGACCUAUGAGAGGGCAAGUCUGGUGCCAGCAGCCGCGGUAAUUCCAGCUCUCAAGGUGUAUAUCGCCAUUGCUGCGGUUAAAAAGCUCGUAGUUGGAUCUGCGCCUUCGGACUCGGUCCUCCCAACGGGUGCGAACUGAGCUCCAAGGCUACUACUGCUGGUUUUCCCUUGAUGCUCUUCACUGGGUGUCUUGGGUGGCUAGCGAGUUUACUUUGAAAAAAUUAGAGUGCUCAAAACAGGCUAUUGCCUGAAUACCGGUGCAUGGAAUAAUAGAAUAGGAUCUCGGUCCUAUUUUGUUGGUUUUCGGAACUGAGAUAAUGGUUAAGAGGGACAGACGGGGGCAUUCGUAUCGCUGCGUGAGAGGUGAAAUUCUUGGACCGCAGCGAGACGCCCAACUGCGAAAGCAUUUGCCAAGAAUGUCUUCGUUAAUCAAGAACGAAAGUCAGAGGUUCGAAGGCGAUCAGAUACCGCCCUAGUUCUGACCGUAAACGAUGCCAACUAGCGAUCCGCCGGUGGUAAUUACGCCCCGGCGGGGAGCUUCCCGGAAACGAAAGUCUUCCGGUUCCGGGGGAAGUAUGGUUGCAAAGCUGAAACUUAAAGGAAUUGACGGAAGGGCACCACCAGGAGUGGAGCUUGCGGCUUAAUUUGACCCAACACGGGAAAACUCACCCGGCCCGGACACCGUAAGGAUUGACAGAUUGAGAGCUCUUUCUUGAUUCGGUGGUUGGUGGUGCAUGGCCGUUCUUAGUUGGUGGAGCGAUUUGUCUGGUUUAUUCCGAUAACGAACGAGACUCUGGCCUACUAACUAGUGACAGAAUUAUUGCUGUUCUGGUUACUUCUUAGAGGGACAAGAGGUGUUCAGCCACACGAAAUUGAGCAAUAACAGGUCUGUGAUGCCCUUAGAUGUCCGGGGCUGCACGCGUGCUACACUGGAGGAAACAGCAUGCAAAACCAUUGCCGAGAGGCAUUGGUAAACCCGAGAAAAUCUUCCGUGAUCGGGAUCGGGAAUUGCAAUUAUUUCCCUUGAACGAGGAAUUCCCAGUAAGUGUGGGUCAUCAGCUCGCGCUGAUUACGUCCCUGCCCUUUGUACACACCGCCCGUCGCUGCCCGGGACUGAGCCUUUUCGAGAAAAGCGGGGACUGCUGCUGUUGGGGCUUUCGGGCCUUGGCUUCGGUGGAAACCGCUUUAAUCGCAGUGGCUUGAACCGGGCAAAAGUCGUAACAAGGUUUCCGUAGGUGAACCUGCGGAAG